rnacentral:rRNA from 1 species
UACGGAGGGUGCGAGCGUUGUCCGGAAUCACUGGGCGUAAAGGGCGCGUAGGCGGUUUGGUAAGCGUGCGGUGAAAGCCCGGGGCUCAACCCCGGGUCGGCCGUGCGGACUGCGGGACUGGAGCACUGUAGAGGCGGGUGGAAUUCCGGGUGUAGCGGUGGAAUGCGUAGAGAUCCGGAAGAACACCGGUGGCGAAGGCGGCCCGCUGGGCAGUGGCUGACGCUGAGGCGCGACAGCGUGGGGAGCAAACAGG